CUGAAGAACACCCAAAUGAGGGGUUGAUUCACUGACUCACGUUUGCACGUGAGUGUGCCUAUUUGGGAUUAAAAUCCCUAAAAUCUGAGGAGCAGCUAGCACUUGGUCCAGAAAGAAAGGGCGCUGCUGCCGUUACCGUAUCUCCGAAUCGACGGUUCUUCCGGCGGCACUGAAGACGACGCAAUUUUGUCAGCUGCGGCGACUCUUGCAAAGGACGCUGCCUUGCACUUCCAGUCCUCCAAGUUCGCUGAGUGCGCCGAAGUCCUUAACCAGCUCUUGCUCAAGAAACAAGACGAUCCCAAAGUUUUGCUUGGCGUUGUCGUUUUGGUAUGGAUCGCGUAAUUGGAUAUUAGUGUUUGUUUUUGUGAGAAAUGCAUGUAGGUUGAUUUGGUUUUGGAUGUGAAGUUCGAGCCUUAUUUGGAUGUCUUGAGUGAGUGAAAAUAGCAGAGAUUCGUAAUUGAAGUGGUGUUGGUAAUAAGUACUGGAAAUUUGAUAAACGACAAUAAAUUCAGGCUGUUAGAAGUGUUUGUUAGUUUGUGUUUUGUUUGAAAACUGAGGUUUCGGCGGCAAGGAGCAAUGACAAGGUUCGACGGCGAGGUCCAGCUCUGUUCCGGUCAGUUUUGUACCUCUCUAUCUCGUGAUCUCUCUCUUGCAAUCUUUCUCUCUGUCUCAGCUGAACUAAAAUGGAGCUGAACUAAAAUGGAUCAGAGACUUUAAUUUCAUGGUUUAAUUUCUUGGGUUUUGCUUGUUUUGGAUGUUGGAUGUUGGGUGUUUUUCAGAUCUUUGAUGUGAUUUCAGGGGAAGGGGAACGACGCCUUAAUGUUUUUUUUUUUUUUUUAUCAGAUUUUUCUUAUUUUCUUUUAAUUCCGAAUAAAUAAAAAAAAGUGCAAAAUAGCGUUCUUUCAAGAGUACUAAGGGCAGCCAUUAACUGAGUUGUAUCAGAGUCCUGCUUUAAUAAAAAUUGAAAAUUAGAGGAUUGAAAUGAUAAAACUGAAAAUUAGAGGACUGAAAUGAAAAAAAAGGUGAAAGUUAAAAGAUCAGUUUUGCAUUUUUGCCUUAUUUUAUUGAUCAAUUUAUAGAUUGUAUACAACCACGUUCAAAGAUGAGCUUUUAUCACAAUACAUGGAGCAUGUAUUACUAUUAGUUUUCUUAAUUGCAUCUGGUCCAAUGAGAACAAACCAAAUAUAUAUCGGUGCUAAUUGCUUGGAGGAAUGCAAAUUAAAAAAAAAAAAAAAAAUGAAAGUAUCCGUUUUUGUGGACUUUGUUUAGAAGAAUGUUACGCAAGGGAAAUUGGGAAGCACCAUUAAAGUUGGUAUGUAGUCUUUAUCUCUGUCUCUCGAAAUUCUGAUCCGUAAUUAUCUAAAUUGUGCUUGAUUUUAGUCAAUGGCAAUGUGAACAUGGCAGAUAGAAACAAUUGAGAAGGAAUGAAAAGCAACAAGUCCCCAAAAAAGAAGUCCCUAAAUAUAGGAAAAGGUCCAAAUGAAUCAAUUUCUCUCUCUCUCUCUCCUUAAACUCUUCUUGCAUCUUGAUUUCUAUUUUAAUAUUUUUUUUUUUAUCUCUUAUACUUUUCGUCUUCUACCAAACCCAUUUUGUAUUAUGAGCAUAUGUUCAAACAAAGUGUAAAAGAAGCUGAGCAAAAUAUUUCUAGACAUGCCUAGGAUGUUAAAGGCAGAGAUGAUAAGGUCACGAGUAAUGUUUUGUGCUUAUUCUUAAUUCUGAAAUCUAUAUUUCCCUAUCUUUUACUAAUCCAGGUCUUAUCUUUUCAGGAAAAACCUUCUUGGAAUGCGCCAGUUUGGACCAGAACACACACACACACACAUAUAUAUAUAUAUAUAUAUAUAUGGAAACACAGAACAGAAGAGAGAAGCUGCUAACAUAGCAAGGAGCAAAAACUCAAAAACGCUUCUCAUUGCUUUAGUUUUUUCUAGUCUGUCGAUACUCCUAAAUGUGCUGUACAUACAUCUUGCUAUUUCAUUAUCUCUAUGUACAUGCUCACAAACGCAUACACAAGUAACAAUAACCACCUUUUUUGUCAUACAUAUUUAUCAGAAUGGUGGCAAGAAGAAGAAGAAGAAGAAUCAUCUAGCCAAAGAAACAGAGGGCAAGUUGAACUGCAAAAUAGAAGAAGCUGAUAAACUACAUGUAGUUUUAUGUGUUACUAAACGACUUGUAGUUUAGUGUAGUUAUAGAUAGAGACAUAGGGUGUUAAUUACACAUGCUUGGCACGCGAGAGAAAGUUAGAAAGUUUGUUAAUAUUGUUUAUUCUGUUAAUCUCUUUGCUUCAGCUGUAUAUAUAAAAAGCUGGUGUAAUUCCUUGCUAAUUAAUCUAGUUCAUUUUACCAGAA